AUGUUCAAGCUGGUUUUAGAAAAGGCAGAGGAACCAGAGAUCAAAUUGCCAACAUCUGCUGGAUCAUCGAAAAAGCAAGAGAGUUCCAGAAAAACAUCUAUUUCUGCCUUUAUUGACUAUGCCAAAGCCUUUGACUUUGUGGAUCACAAUGAACUGUGGAAAAUUCUGAAAGAGAUGGGAAUACCAGACCACCUGACCUGCCUCUUGAGAAACCUAUAUGCAGGUCAGAAAGCAACAGUUAGAACUGGACAUAGAACAGACUGGUUCCAAAUAGGAAAAGGAGUACGUCAAGGCUGUAUAUUGUCACCCUGCUUAUUUAACUUAUAUGCAGAAUACAUCAUGAGAAACGCUGGGCUGGAAGAAGCACAAGGUGGAAUCAAGAUUGCUGCGAGAAAUAUCAAUAACUUCAGAUAUGCAGACGACACCACCCUUAUGGCAGAAAGUGAAGAGGAACUAAAAUGCCUCUUGAUGAAAGUGAAAGUGCAGAGUGAAAAAGUUGGCUUAAAGCUCAACAUUCAGAAAAUGAAGAUCAUGGCAUCUGGUCCCAUCAGUUCAUGGCAAAUAGAUGGGAAAAUAGUGGAAACAGUGUCAGACUUUAUUUUGGGGGGCUCCAAAAUCAGUGCAGAUGGUGAUGGCAGCCAUGAAAUUAAAAGAUGCUUAGUCUUUGGAAGAAAAGUUAUGACCAACCUAGAUAGCAUGUUGAAAAGCAGAGACAUUACUUUGCCAACGAAGGUCCAUCUAGUUAAGGCUAUGGUUUUUCCAGUGGUCAUGUAUGGAUGUGAGAGCUGGACUAUGAAGAAAGUUGAGUGCCAAAGAAUUGAUGCUUUUGAACUGUGGUGUUGGAGAAGACUCUUGAGAGCCCCUUGGACUGCAAGGAGAUCCAACCAGUCCAUUCUGAAGGAGAUCAGCCCCGGGAUUUCUUUGAAGGGAAUACUGCUGAAGCUGAAACUCCAGUACUUUGGCCACCUCAUGGGAAGAGUUGACUCAUUGGAAAAGAUUCUGAUGCUGGGAAGGAUUGGGGACAGGAGGAGAAGGGGACUACAGAGGAUGAGAUGGCUGGAUGGUGUCACCGACUCUAUGGACAUGAGUUUGAGCGAACUUUGGGAGUUGGUGAUGGACAGGGAGGCCUGGUGUGCUGCGAUUCAUGGGGUUGCAAAGAGCUGGACACGGCUGAGCGACUGA
rnacentral:lncRNA from 1 species